rnacentral:rRNA from 1 species
GACGAACGCUGGCGGCGUGCCUAAUACAUGCAAGUCGAGCGAAUGGAUUAAGAGCUUGCUCUUAUGAAGUUAGCGGCGGACGGGUGAGUAACACGUGGGUAACCUGCCCAUAAGACUGGGAUAACUCCGGGAAACCGGGGCUAAUACCGGAUAACAUUUUGAACCGCAUGGUUCGAAAUUGAAAGGCGGCUUCGGCUGUCACUUAUGGAUGGACCCGCGUCGCAUUAGCUAGUUGGUGAGGUAACGGCUCACCAAGGCAACGAUGCGUAGCCGAACGGAGAGGGUGAUCGGCCACACUGGGACGGAGACACGGCCCAGACUCCUACGGGAGGCAGCAGUAGGGAAUCUUCCGCAAUGGACGAAAGUCUGACGGAGCAACGCCGCGUGAGUGAUGAAGGCUUUCGGGUCGUAAAACUCUGUUGUUAGGGAAGAACAAAUGCUAGUUGAAUAAGCUGGCACCUUGACGGUACCUAACCAGAAAGCCACGGCUAACUACGUGCCAGCCGCCGCCGUAA